rnacentral:rRNA from 1 species
GGGGGCGAGCGUCCCCGGAAGCGCGCCUCCCUUUUUAUACAAAUCAAAGCCUGUUUAAAACGCAUGUCUGAGCCCCACGGGGCGAAUAAAGUUAAUACAACUUUCAACAACGGAUCUCUUGGCUUUCGCAUCGAUGAAGGACGCCGCGAAAGUGCGAAACGUAAUGUGAAUUGCAGAAUUCAGUGAAUCAUCGAAUCUUUGAACGCAUCUUGCGCUCCUUGGUAUUCCGAGGAGCAUGCCUGUUUGAGUGUCGUGAACCUCUCUCGACCCGACUCCCUGGAGAGUUUGGGUUGGAUUUGGACGCUUGCGGUCCCAUCCGCUCGUCUUUAAAUGCAUCAGCUGGCCCCCCCAUCAAGGUUGGACCGAUGACGGUGUGAUAAUUAACAUGUGUGACGCCGUUCUGGGCCAACUUUUCAUAUGUGGGGUCGCUUCUAACCGUCCCUUUGGGACAAAAUGACAAGCCUUUUGACCU